GGAAAGUGAGAAAUUCUGAGAUGGUGAAACAAUGUGAAAGAGAGGGAAUAAAAAAAAAUUGGCACUAGGUUGAGAUAGAUUUUCCACCUUAAAAUUAGAGAUUUUUAAAUAAGGUAACACUUAUAAUUACAAGGGACCCUAAUUUGCUGACACUUUGUUUAUUAAUAUCGGUAAUAUUUUUAAUACACCAAUGUUUUUAUAUUAAU
rnacentral:misc_RNA from 1 species